rnacentral:lncRNA from 1 species
AUAAGGUGGAAGAACUAAGGCCACAGGGUCUGUCUGUCUCUUUACUUCCCUGUGCACUCCACACUGAGAUGUGAGCAAGGCACAGAACACCUGUGCCUCUGUGGAAGAUGCUCAGCCAAACCUUGUAUCAUCUCCAGUGCCAGACACAGCUCUAUCCACUGUGUGCAAGCACAUAUGGACAAACACUCAAAAGAGAACAUUUUAAAAAAUCUUCCUGCAUAGACCAUGUCAGCCCAACAGCACAUGGAAAUGCUUUGGAAAUACAUUUUGAAAAAUAUUUUCUGUUUUGCUCUUGCCUGGUGGCUAUGCAGACUAUGCCAAAUGUGCUUGCUACCCAUUGCUAAAAAUGCAACCUGUGAUACUCCUUGUAAGUUUUAAUGAAGACAGACUUGAUUUCGAAUUCCAUCUACUUUUGCUUUUCAGAGCUGUUGGAAUGUUCUGGUGCACUAGCUCUCUUCAUCUUCUGCAUUCCUCUCCUACCUGUGAAAUCCUUCACUGCCACUGAUUUAACAUAUCUCUGCCAUGUCACCCACAUCCCAAGGGAGAACAGCUGUGAGCAGAAUGACUUGCCCAGUUCACCCCAGCCUCCAGACAACAUGCUGACAUUUGGCAGUUUGACUGUGCCCUCUGCUGUUAACAGGAACACAGGAAGGACUUACAUGUCUUGAAAAGGGUUUCUAGGCAAGCCAAACUGGAUUUGAGUUUGGAAUCAAACAUCUCUUCAAACUUCUCAAAGUACACUGGCAGCUGUGAAAACAAAGGUAAAUGGGUAAAUUAAAACAUUGCCUUUUCUUUGUUUGCAAAAUCACAUCCCCAGAUGCAACAGAACAAUGACUGCAGCUCUUGAAAUGGAACAGCCUGAAAAUGGUUGUUUAUUUGUCACUUGAAACAAUUUGUCCAGCUGUUGGUUGCAACCCCAAAGAAGAUCUGGGAUGGCUCAAAAGGCUCAUGAAAUCUGAAGAGAUUUCAAAAAAGAGAAACUGUUCUGUAAAAUAGGAUUAAUAAUAACUAAUAAAAUUAAUUAUAGAAGUGUUGGAGGAGAGACC